UUACCACUACAGCUUUCUCUAAGUUGGAGCCUGGAAAUCUCUCCACUAUAGAAACGUCAAGUGCACAGGUGACAGAAUUCAAUAUGAA